rnacentral:miRNA from 1 species
UAGCUGUAAGGGCUGGGUCUGUGU